UUUUGACCAUUCUAUGGCUCAAAAUAACUUCACAUCGCUAUACCAGUUAUCCGAAGGUAAGACUGGGGCCUAACAUGUCUGCUGUGAAUAUGUAAUGGAAUGUUUUUCACAGUAAUGUUAUGUUAAACACCACUCAUAAAGGACAGAUAAACGUACCUUUAUCAGUAAGAAAAAUUAAGGCUUUUUCAUGUGAUCUACAACUACUACACAAACUCAAGAAUCAAAGGGAGGCUACGAUCCAGCAAAAUAUGACUUCUAAUCUCUACCAUCUGGAUAUUAGUUCUUCCACCCUAAUUCAACACUUGGUGGGAGGGAAAUAAAAAUGCUUGGCACGUGGUAGACGUCCACCAAAUGCUCCAAAUGCGCUAAGAAGCCUGGCCUCCAAGAGCAGUCCUCCUUGUUCCUGUAAACACUACGUAACUGCCGCCUCUUCACAUCACCAAAGUGGCACCUUUUAAAAAGAAAAUGUCUUCCGGACUACUAGAACAUUACAGAAAGUAAAAGAAAAGGCUAACUGAAGUUACAGAUUACCAAAUCAAGGUCAAAGGCACUGGAUAAGGAAGAUAAUUUCAAAGCAUUGUAAACAAUCUUUAAAGCAAAUUAACUUUUAAAUGUCAAAUUCUAAGAGAAAACACUAAAUUAUGACAAUACUUUAAAAUAGGGGACAAAAUUUUUGUAAUGUCAUAAUGAAAUCUACCUAUGUUCUAGUUUUCUUUUACCCUACAAUGUCCCAAGUUCUAACAAAAAAUGUGCUCUUGGUUGUAUGAAACAAGAGAAAUACAACUUAAAGAACUGUAGAUUUUUUUAAAUGCUAUAAAAUUUAGUAAACUGAAAACCAUGACAUGAAGAUCAUCUUGAAAUUAUAAAAUACUAAACUAUACUCAAUCAACAUUCAGAACAACGGUUCUUAUCUAGUUGAACAGUCUAGUCUCACAAUAGCAAACUGUAGUGUAAAGAGGCAGAGGAGUGCAAGCGUUUUCCAGCACAAAGAAUUACGAAUACUGACUUGAAAUACCACAAGCUCCCUGGCAGAGCCAUUUAAUAUACAUGUUUAAGCAGGUUCUUGAAAAACUAUUUAGAUAAAAUAUUUAGCAUUUAUCAUUAAUUUUAGUUUAUUUGAAUCUAUGCAACUUCCAUCCAUAGUAAAAUAUCAAUUAAUGUAAAUACUUUAGUAUAAAACUAUUUUACAAUUUAAAUUUUAUUUGAGAAAUGUAUUGACAUCCAUUUCUUAAAAGUCCUUUUUAUGAGUGCAUUCCAUGAGAAAUACACAGUCAUUACUCAUGUUUUUGGAGGUGGGGACUAAUAAUCCUACUAAUUCAAAUUAUAUCCUUAUUUUGCCUAUUUCUUAAACAUUUACAUGUUUAAAUAUGACUGGUGAAUAGUGAUCAUUCAACCCAACAGUGGCAAAUUUCACUAUCAUCUUAAAAGACAGGACUACAUUAUAAAAUAGUCACAUAUAGAUUACAUAAUAUACUUAUUCCAUUACAUGUAAGCUUACUUAUAAAGUAAUGUAAAAUGGGCAAUGGAUAACAGUGAUUAAAAAAUGUAAACAAAAAGAAUUAAAUGUUAAUCCCUUCCCUGAAAAAAAGAUAAAAAGUACUUCGUUUUCUUAAAAACAAAACAUGAUCUAUCGUUUUAAAAAGGUAAGACACAGAUUUUACAAAACUAUUUUUCCAAAUACAGACAAAAAAAAAUCUGGAACAGCUGAUUCAGACUUUAUUGAGCUAAAUUAUGCAAAGGAUCUGAUAAUACUUAACUUUAUUAAGAAAAAGCCUUAAGAUUCAACAUAGUGUUUAUCAUCUAAACUUACUAUUGAACCAUUAUUGAAAUAGCAACAACAACAACAAAGGUCCAUUGUAAGAAAAAAACAAGUAAAACUUCAAACUUUUUCUAUUAAUUAUGAUGUGAAAUUAAUUUUAACAAAAAAUAAAAACCCAAUAGCCAAUACCUAUUUGGGCUGUAGAGGAAAAAUAUGAAAUCCCCAUGAAAAGUAUUUCACAUUGAUUCUAAUUUUAAAAAUGCAUAUGGAUUUAAAGUUAUUCUGGUUUAACAGAUUUACUAAUAAGCAAAGAAUUUGUAGAGCAUUUACUUGGUGUUUUUGCUCAGACUCAGAUAUUUGCAAAGUACCUUCAGAGAGGGCUGGAAGGGGAAAAUCAACUUUAAAUUUCCUCUAGAUCACACAGCAGAUGAAAAGGUCUACUAAUUCCCAACUCCAAAACAUGAAUAUGGCAAAACUGUUCAACUAUUUAAUCAUGUUAAUCAAUAGUAACUCAAUACAAGUGAUGAUAGCAUUAAUCUCAAAUGCAUUGGCAAAUUUAAUUUCAAAGUUAACAUUUGCACUGAAAAGUAAUUAUUUUUAAAAAGGUGGAUGAAACAAAACACAAAUUUUAUUUUUCCAGGAAAGAUAACAUUGAUUCUGCCCCUCAAGAAAUUAAAUUAUAAUUUCUCUGUUGAAUUAGAUGUAAAAAAACUGUGAAAGACAAGUAUGGAUACAGAAAAUACAUAAUCUAUGAUGCUUGUAGUAUUUUCAUUAACAUUUACACAACUGGAUGUCAUCUUUCACUGUUUAACAAAAUUUGGAAAGACUAUUUUUCACCAACAUACUACUGCUUAACAAGAGAUAGAUAUACAAAGAAAAAAGAUUUUUUUUUUUUUGUCUUUUUCAGACAGGUUCUUGCCAUGUA